rnacentral:rRNA from 1 species
GAUGUGUAGGAUAGGUGGGAGGCUUAGAAGUGUGGACGCCAGUCUGCAUGGAGCCGACCUUGAAAUACCACCCUUUAAUGUUUGAUGUUCUAACGUUGACCCGUAAUCCGGGUUGCGGACAGUGUCUGGUGGGUAGUUUGACUGGGGCGGUCUCCUCCUAAAGAGUAACGGAGGAGCACGAAGGUUGGCUAAUCCUGGUCGGACAUCAGGAGGUUAGUGCAAUGGCAUAAGCCAGCUUGACUGCGAGCGUGACGGCGCGAGCAGGUGCGAAAGCAGGUCAUAGUGAUCCGGUGGUUCUGAAUGGAAGGGCCAUCGCUCAACGGAUAAAAGGUACUCCGGGGAUAACAGGCUGAUACCGCCCAAGAGUUCAUAUCGACGGCGGUGUUUGGCACCUCGAUGUCGGCUCAUCACAUCCUGGGGCUGAAGUAGGUCCCAAGGGUAUGGCUGUUCGCCAUUUAAAGUGGUACGCGAGCUGGGUUUAGAACGUCGUGAGACAGUUCGGUCCCUAUCUGCCGUGGGCGCUGGAGAACUGAGGGGGGCUGCUCCUAGUACGAGAGGACCGGAGUGGACGCAUCACUGGUGUUCGGGUUGUCAUGCCAAUGGCACUGCCCGGUAGCUAAAUGCGGAAGAGAUAAGUGCUGAAAGCAUCUAAGCACGAAACUUGCC